rfam:Oryza meridionalis cultivar OR44 (W2112) chromosome 3, whole genome shotgun sequence.
UUUAAGUGUAGUCGUUGGUUUUCGUAUCUAACAUUUAACCAUUAUCUUAUUUGAAAAAAAAAGAUAUAAUUAGUAUUAUUGUUAUUAUAUGAUAAAACAUGAAUAAUACUAUGUGUGACUUUUUUAAAAUUUUUUUAAAUAAGACGGACGGUAAAACGUUGGACAGAGAAAAUCACAAUUGCACUUAUA